UUACAUCACAUUAAUGUCUGAUUAUAAGUGGUUAUUUAUACAGCCAGGACUUCAUAAUGGUUACAAUUGCAUCCUGCAUCGUGUAGAAAAGGACUGAUUUUGUGAGCGGCCUGGCUCCUCCGUGAGGCAGGCUCGGUUCUAGGCUACAUGUAGGGUAGCCAGGAGGCGUCUGCAUAGCAGUUGAGGUCAGCACCAGGAAGGAGGCUGCUGAGCUUUGAGCUGAAGAGGCUGAGGAUUGCUUGAACGCUGUUCUCCCAGCUUUGCUGAUGAGAUGGGGACCUCUGACAGAGGGGAGGUGACAAACGGACUACCAGUCAGUUGCCAAAACUGUUUUGCCUGAAGGAAGAACUUGAAAUACUAUACAGAAUUGUAGAAGACGACGGAAAGGAUGAGGGACAUCCAGGCUUUCUGAGAAUGAAGGAGAGCCAUCAUUUUGCCUUGCCAGGAUGGCUUCUGGUAGGACUUUUCGAAGGUGCGAUGAAAAUUGCCCAAGUCUGGAUGCAACUGUUCUCAAGCAGCUAUUGGCUUUCCUUUACAUUUCUAGCAUCUAUGCUGGAAGAUGCAACAGCUCUGGGGAGUAUGAAAGAAUCUUCUUGAUACCUGUGGGAGUUGCAUGCACAGCCAGAUGUAAUAAGCUCUGCAGGUGAAAAUUCUGAAAAUAGUUGUCCGCAUACAAGUGUGGCUUCAGCCUACAGCUAGUAUUAUGAAGUUAAUGAAAUACGUACUUUCAAAUCUCCUGAGAUAUUGGCUCCUGCGAGAAUGCCAGUGGCAGCUGGGAAAAAAAUGGCAAACACCGAGAAAAAUCCUUCUCCACCUCUGAAAUCUGGUCCAAAGUUUUCUGCAAAUAUUGAUGCUGCAAAUAUAGGUGAAAAUGAAACAUGCUAACAGGAUUUGAUUCCAGAGUUACUGAAUGAAGAAGCAACAGAGAUGCCAAGAAGACAUACAACAGUUAUGGUACCUAUGAUUCUGAUGUCAUUGGACUCAUCUACCAUUAUUGUAUCACUCUCCUGGAAAGAGUAAAAAAUAUUGUUAUGACCAGUCUUUCUUGGCCCAGCUGGUGGGAUCAGGUAACAAGUGAAAAUAUUUGCUCAUCUUUGAAGAAGUAGCUGAAAUGUAAGGAGUAUUAUAAAGAAUUAUACGAGAAAGUAUUAAAUUGAAGAUACCACUGAUCUGCAUCAGUCUUCAAAAAGGAAGAGUGCUUCGUGCUCAGUUUGUCAAAGGAUGUCCAACCUGGAAGGCUCUGAAUAUUAAAGACCUGCUGAAAGCUGUUGUCUCAUCUCCAGCAGUGCUUUCUCCAUUAGCCACUCUUUCCACUGAGCCGGUGCUCACGGCUAUGUUCUGAAGGAUCACACAGAAAACAAGCACAUUUUUGUAUCAAGCAGAGGACACCUGGUUGUAUAAGAGGGACAUGGAAGAAGGAAUUCCAAAGAAGAUCAAGUUUUACUGUUUGUAGAGUAGAGUGCAAUACUCUUCUGACACCAAGCAUCAACAGAAGUUUAGCCUUCAUCUCUCCUGGGGAUAAAGAUGAUGAGCUCAUCAAGUCUUCAUAAAACAAAUGUGGUAAAUAGCCAAGAGGAAGAAAGGUUAGAUGAUUUCUUAUGUAAGGAUACAGGGCAGAAAACAUACUAUAGCUACUGAAGGAAAUAUGGUAAGUGAUUAGUUGUACUUUCUCUCUUGGGCAAGGUCCAUGAAUUUAAGGACUUUCUCAUAUUAAUAAACAGAAUUAACAGCCUGAACAGAGAAAAAUUGUAUCUUUCCUUUCCACUUACCUUUGCUAGUUGUUCAUGAAUUUCUAAUAAGCUUGGUCUGUUGAGCUUAUUCCCACUGACACUGCCAGUGUUUCUAUAG